GCUGCCCAUCGCCCGGGAUGGGGGUUCCUCGGUGGCCCGGCAGGGGGAAGGCGGAUGGCAGGUGGCAGCAGCGGGGACGUGGGUCCUGGGCUGAGCUGAGAUUGCGGAUGGGGUUUCUUUCCUUUCCUUUUCUGAUUUCUUUUUUUUCUUUUUUUUUUUCGAGGGCUUUGCUGUAAAUCAACCCAAACUCCCUAGAGAGCAUCGUCUCUGUACCGCAGUGGUAGCCCCUCCUUCAGCUGGGCAUGAGGACAGGAAUGAAGCCAGCCACAGUGUGGGAGAGCAGCAUCCCCAUGGGACUGCCACCUCCCAGGAGUUAUGUCAUGGGGCAGGAGGUCAGGAUGUGGCUACCCCAUCCCAAACUGCAGCUUGGAGCCAAGAGAGAUCCAUUUCGGAGCUCUGCUCACUCAACUCAGGAGUUCAGCCACCUCCUACUGCAGGUAGGACCAGCCAGUGGGCAGCCCUGUGUCCCCCUGUUUUUGGGUCUCCUGCCCCUGCUCCUGGGCUGAGUGUGAGUGUUUACUCGGUGCCUUUCUCACCACUCACAGCGUGGCAGGAGUUAUUCAAAGGCAGGCGGAAGCGAGCACAGCAACUGAAACAACAAUGAAAAGGAAACAGAGCUCGAAAAAUUCUCCGUUCAUAAAUCAACUGAACUGCAGGUGAUCCCUGGGCAGGAGCGAGCUGAGGAAGAGACACGGCUUGGCUCGGCAUGGCCAGCAGCCAGGCAGGCUCCAGCCCCCCAGGCAGGGAUGGGGGAGGCCGGGAUUUCCCAGGGUGGUCCUGAGUGAUGCUGGGGUCGGUGUCCAUGUCCCCAGGGCUGCACAUCAGGGACUUUGAGGCAGGUGAGGUGCAAGCAUUUCUGGGUUUAUUUUUAUUACAUAUUUUUAUUAUGCAUCUG
rnacentral:lncRNA from 1 species